CGGUACGUCAUGGAGUGUCCGACGGCUAGGAUUCCUGAUAUCCCUAGAAGACGCGGUGCGUGUUUACUCAGCAGGAAAGCCGCUUAACCAUCCCUGGCUGACUGACUGGCUGAGUGGCGUUAUUAAAGACUGUGUGCCUCACAUCAUAGCUGCUGUCAAUGGAUAAACCCAGAGAACAGCUGAGGUGGAUAGAGCCCUGCAACAUCCAAUUAACCCUUCGACAACAAUGGGCUCCAGUGUCUACUACUCCACUACCAAGGGAUAAUGACCCAACACACCUCCAGGCUGUGUAAGGGCUAUUUGACCAAGAAGGAGAGUGAUGGAGUGCUGCAUCAGAUCACCCAACCUCAACCCAUUUGAACUGGUCUGGGAUGAGUUGGACCACAGAGUGAAGGAAAAGCAUCCAACAAGUUUUCAGCAUAUGUGGGAACUCCUUCAAGACUGUUCCAGUUGAAGCUGGUUGAGAGAAUGCCAAGAGUGUGCAAAGCUGUCAUCAAGGCAAUGGGUGGCUACUUUGAAGAAUCUAAAAUAUAUGUUGAUUUGUUUAACACUUUUUUGGUUACUACAUGAUUCCAUAUGUGUUAUUUCAUAGUUUUGAUGUGUUCACCAUUAUUCUACAAUGUAGAAAAUAGUAAAAGUAAUGAAAAUCCCUUGAAUGAGUAGGUGUGUCCAAACUUUUGAAUGGUACUGUAUGUAAAUUUGAUAUUUCUGAAUUUGAUUUUCAAUAAA